GGGUGUGAUCAUACCAGCACUAAUGCACCGGAUCCCAUCAGAACUCCGAAGUUAAACGUGCUUGGGCGAGAGGAGUACUAAAAUGGGUGACCUCUUGGGAAGUCCUCGUGUUGCACCCC
rnacentral:rRNA from 1 species